UCGUCCUCUUUCUUCCUUGCAGCCGAUCGACGGGGAUCUGGCGGAGCUAGGGCACGACAGGGGGGCGUUGAUCCGCAUCUUUCUUGGUGGAUCGAGCCCCUCUCAGCUUUUCUCUUUGACCUAUUCAUUGGAGGGGGUUGCGGAUCAUCUCCAGUUGAGGUGGAUCGCGCGGAUCGAUUGAGAGGAAGCAGAGGAUCAAUGUGCUGUGGAAUUGCCCUGUUGCUGGUCAUUAUAAACUUCCCUUCAUGAAGCUGUGAAGGUCUUGGGUGAGAAGGAAUGGAAGGAGUUGUGGUGUGGAUGGCAUUGGCUAUUAACAGGGAAGAACAAUCCAAUUUGGAUCACUGUUCUCUACAACUUGCAGCUGAUAGGGUUUCGGCUGAAGGAUUGGAGGUCUAUCAAGGAUUUGUAUUUGGGACGAGCGUCUCGACAUGGGAUUUUCAGAUGACGAUCGACAAAUAAGGCGGGUA